ACGUACCGCAAGUACGUUCCGGUUCGUCCGCUCCGUCCGCCUUGCCCGCGGCCCGCUCGCUACGCCCUUGACGCCGUGGUU
rnacentral:sRNA from 1 species